rnacentral:SRP_RNA from 1 species
UCUGGGGUUGGUGGGCAUGCCUAUGAUUCCUGUUACUGGGGAGACUGAGAUUGGUAGAUCUCUUGAGCUAGAGAUUUCUGAGCUGAAGUGAACUAUACUGAUCCAGAGAUCACACAAACUUUAGCAUUAAUAUGGGGGUGGGAGUUGUGUGCACCAAGUUGCUUAAGGAGGGGUGAACUGGCCCAGGUUGAAAAUGGAAUAGGUCAAAGUUGCCUUGCUGAUCAGAGUGGGAUCUGCCCAUGAGUGACCCCUGAACUUCCUGCUUCAGCAAAAUAGGGAGAACUAGGCUUA